CUGAAGAAACCUCAACAGCGACGUCUGACAACUUCUCCAACGAGGAGAUGGCCGCCUGGUGCCGGAUCCUGGUCGUGCUCCUGUUCUUCCUCGUGUGGACUGAACACAGUUUUGCUGAUGUGGAUCAGAACCAACUCACAUUGUUGGUAAAAGGCAUCUUGAGAGAGUACAAGGUAAAUCGCAUGUUCAGUCUGGCCAUGAGCAUCCCUGAGAACCAGAAGCAGAACCAGAACAAGAACCAGAACCAGAAGCAGAACCAGAA